GCUUGUAUUCCCUUGACAAAUACUAUAGGCCAAGUGAAGAUUUCAUGCCUCACGAAUUUCAUAUUCUUCCCUUGUGAAAGCUGUUCCCUUGCCGAGAACUGAAGGAUGGCACCAGGCAAAGUAUUUCGUAAAAAGAUUCGAACACAAGAAAAUGAAAAUCAAGAAGUCUCUAGUAAACUAAAUCGAACCCAAGAAUAUGAACCUCAACAAGUUACUGAUGCUCCAAAUCAAACACAUGAAGAAAUUGAUCCAGAUACAACAAUUGAAAAUUCAGAUUCAGCCAAUUUAUCACAUCAAAAGGUACGAGGACCAAGUCGAGGUAAGGGACUAGAAAAUUUCAUGAAAAGUAAGAAUAAGUUGAUAGUAGAGAUACCAGAGGGAAAGGGUCGACCUAUUGAAGCAAUUUAAUCAGCCAAAUUAUCUUCUGCAAUUGGAAUCAUUUCACGACAAUUCAUAUAAAUACCAACAAAAUGGAAGGAUAUGAAGGAUAAUGAUAAACUUCAUGCCCUAGAGAGACUCAAAUCAAAGUUUGAGAUGAAAUUAGAUGAUGAUUAUGUGAAGAGCUCUGUCAUGUCAAUUAUGUCAAAGUUAUCAAGGAACCAUCAACAUAAGGUUCAUUUGCAUUUUAAGCAAUUCCUAAAUGAUGUUGUGGUAUGCCAAACCAACACAAUAUAACUUGACACAAGAAAAUUGGGAACAACUUUGUGAUUUGUUUAGUGAUCCUGAAUAUCAGAGGAAGUGUGAAACUAAUGCAAGAGUUAGAAGAAAUGUCAAGUUAACUCCUAAUCAAGGAUCUCGGGCUUUUGUCGCUAGCCGAUAUGCUAUGCGCAAGGAUGAUGAAGAACAAAAUAGGAUUGAUUUCUUCAAGGCAACUCAUUAUUCAAAUGAAAAAGGAUGGACAACAUCUGAGGCACAAGCAAAAUAUGAGAAAAUGGUGGAGUUGCAAUCAACUCCAGUUGAAGAAGGAGCAGAACCUAAAA